AAAAAAAUGUAUAAUGUCACUCACUGGAUCGAUUAGAAGCGGCCGACAGGGUGCAACUGGAACUGGGUAGCUGGAGCGUAAGUGAGAGAGGGUAUUCAAUCUACCAAAUAUGCGUGACCACGAAUCUCACUUAAACUAUUCAAUUUGCUAUAAAUGGAUUAAGGCAAACAGACGGACAUGGCUAGAUCGGCUCAGCUCGUCGUCCAGAUCAAUAUGAUGGGAUAUGCUUCAUGUCUGCCUUUUAAAAAUGUCAACGGGCUCCGGAUGCGGCGAAUUUUGUAUAUGAUACCAGAAAAUUACGAUGAGCGUGAAUAGCGAGCAAAAAGGAGAACUAUGUUACUAUUUAUCUCUUAUCAGACUUUUAUACAAAAACAACCCAAAUGCUUGUUGGACAACAUGCAAAAGUGGAAGGAAGUUUAAUUGCUUUUUAUAACUUGUAGAUUAAUCAAUCUGGAAAAACAAAAUGAUAACAUGUGACCUUUAGAUAAUGCACUAUAAUUAAUUUUUGGGUUUAA